rnacentral:rRNA from 1 species
AGCCUACGGGGGGCAGCAGUGAGGAAUAUUGGUCAAUGGGCGCAAGCCUGAACCAGCCAUCCCGCGUGCAGGAAGACGGCCCUAUGGGUUGUAAACUGCUUUUCCAGGGGGAGAAACUUGCGCACGUGUUGCGCAAUUGACGGUACCCUGGGAAUAAGCAUCGGCUAACUCCGUGCCAGCAGCCGCGGUAAUACGGAGGAUGCGAGCGUUAUCCGGAUUCAUUGGGUUUAAAGGGUGCGUAGGCGGACUAUUAAGUCAGUGGUGAAAUCCUGCAGCUUAACUGCAGAACUGCCAUUGAUACUGAUAGCCUUGAGUUUGGUUAAGGUAGGCGGAAUGUGUAAUGUAGCGGUGAAAUGCUUAGAUAUUACACAGAACACCAAUUGCGUAGGCAGCUUACUGAGCCGACACUGACGCUGAGGCACGAAAGCGUGGGGAUCGAACAGGAUUAGAUACCCCAGUAGUC